GUGGGUAGAACUCAGUGGUGGAGCACAUGCUUGGCAUGCAUGAGGUCCUGGGUUCAAUCCCCACCACCUCCA
rnacentral:tRNA from 1 species